GGGUGUAAUAAUACCAGGUCUAAUGCGCAGUACAACUUGCUUGGGCGAGAGUAGUACUAGGAUGGGUGUCCUCCUAGGAAGUCCUCGUAUUGCACCCC
rnacentral:rRNA from 1 species